ACGAGUUUGGUCCUCCAUUGUGGGUCAAAAUGGGAAGAAGAAGAAGGGGAAAGUUGCUGUGGAUGCACCAUUGCAUAAUGUGAAAGAUCCACCUUGCAAGAAGGUUGCACAUCGAACUCGAGGUAUGCGGUAUGUAUCUGUUGCAGAAGAGCGAAGAGAAAGAUAGCUUCGAAAUCUAAGGCAAGCAAGUCGAGGGCGGCCAAGAGACCUAGGAGGAAGAAGGUUGAUUUGAAUGUCGCAGUUGCUACACCGAGGUGUAAGGAGCUGAACUUGAAUGGUGUAGGCGAAGGA